rnacentral:rRNA from 1 species
UACAGAGGGUGCAAGCGUUGCUCGGAAUUAUUGGGCGUAAAGGGUAGGUAGGUGGUCUCAUUUGUCUGGGGUGAAAGCCUUGAGCUUAACUCAAGAAGUGCCCCAGAAACGGUGAGACUGGAGUCCUGGAGAGGGUCGUGGAAUUCCCGGUGUAGCGGUGAAAUGCGUAGAGAUCGGGAGGAACACCAGAGGCGAAGGCGGCGACCUGGACAGGUACUGACACUCAACUACGAAAGCGUGGGGAGCAAACAGG